GAGACUAUUAAGGAGGGCUAGCUAUAUAUUAAAGAGAUUAAUUUGUGUUUGUUAUUUAAUUAUUUUACACAUGCACUCUUAGAGAAAUUCAAUAAUAAACGAAGUGAAUUGAAAUAUCUUAGUAACUUUAGGAAAAGAAAUCAAACGAGAUUCUAUGAUUAGUGUGAAUGAAAAUAGAAAAGCCUAUUUAUAUUUAAAUAAAUAAAAAAAAUUUAUAUUUAUAUUGUAUUAUAUUUUUUUUAAUAGAUAUAUUAAAUAAGUAAAACGGGUAUAACCUCCUGUUUGAAUACGUCAAAUAAUAUAUUAUUUAUAAUUGUCUAGGCUUAGCCUUCUACAAUUAUUUGACAAAGGGGAACCUUCCUCUAAGGCUAAAUAUAAUAUAUAAGCGAUAGCGUAUAGUACUGUGAAGGAAAGGUUUGAAUUAGUAGUCUUAUAAGCAGCUAAUGCUUUAUUUAAUUAAAAAGUAAUAGCGUACCUUUUGCAUAAUGGGUCAGUAAGUUAAUAUUAGAUGCGAGCAUUCGUGCCCAGAUAAACCAAUUAUGAAUUAAUGAAUUAGUAUCUAAAAUUAGACCCGAAAGCCAGUGAUCUUACCAUAGUCAGGAUUAUAAAAGUCCGAACGGGUUAUCGUUGUAUAGAUAUCCGAUGAACUGUGGUAAGUAAGUGAAAGACAACACUGACUGGUAUAGCUGGUUUUCUGCGAAACCUAUAAAAGUAGGUAAUUUAAGUAACAUCAUAGCAGGUACAGAACUGUGUUCUCAGGCAACUUAUAUUUUGAGAUUAAAGAAAUUUGCUCUCAUUUUAUUUUUUGCAUAUAUCGGGCAAUCGUGAAGAUUUUAUCGGUGAGUAAUCGCACUCGGAAUGGUUAUGAUCUUUAUUAAAUAAUCGGACAUAGUACGCUAAGGUUGUAUGUCUAAAGGGAAACAGCCCAGAACAAGAGUUAAGGUUCCAAAAUUAUUGUUAAGUGAAAUUAAGGAUGUUUAGUUAAAAUACGGCCAGGAAAUUGGCUUAGAAGCGGCUCAUUUUUUAAAGAUCUCGUAAUAGAGCACUGGUUUAGUAUAUUAUUUACAUUAAUUUGAGCACCGAAGAUUUAACGGAUCUAAACAAUAUACCGACACCUGCGCCGAGUGAUUUAGGAAAUCACUUGUGUGGGUAUAAACUAUCAAACUCCGGGUACCUCCUAAACCUUCUGGUACCAGCCCACAAUUGAAAAAUUGUCGGUGGAUGAAUUAAUUGCUCAUGUAUGGUAAUAAUCCAGAAUGUGGUUGAAAAACAAAAGGAAUAUCGCGGAUCUAAAUCAGUAACAGGGUGCUUCGUUUUAAAUAAACCUACAAGCCACAAAUCUGUUACUGAAAAAGAGCAACGAGUAGACGGUAGUUGGUACUUUAACUCUUUUACUUCAAAAAAGUAAAUAAAAAGUAUUUAAGGUGUACUCUAAGGAGCUUCGAAAUAAAUCAAGUAAAAAUCCUUUCUAACCAAAUAAGACAAUGCUCAACUCAAACUUUGGGAACUGUGCGCUCAAAUGAUCUUAAGGGUUAUGAUCCGUGACUUAUAACAGGAUUCACGGAUGCUGAGGGGUCAUUUAUUGUUUCAGUUUCUAAAUACCCUGGCGCACGUUCAGGUUGAAAUAUCCAAGUAAAUUUUAAAAUAAGCCUGCAUACGAAAGAUUUACCUGUCUUGAAAGAGAUUCAACGCUCUUUAGGAGGGGUAGGUAAAAUAGCUAAAGCAAAGACAGGGAUAGUUAUUCGUUUGUUGUAAGUUCUAGAAAACAAAUAACAACUGUAAUCUUACCUCAUUUCGAUACUUAUCCUUUGAUUACCCAGAAGAAAGCUGACUAUGAAUUAUUUAAGCGUAUUAUUGAAACAAUGAAUAACCAGGAACAUUUAACUGAUCUUGGUCUUCAAAAAAUAAUAAAUCUUAGAGCUUCUCUCAAUUUGGGUUUAUCAGAGGGAUUAAAGUUAGCUUACCCUAAUACUAUACCAGUAGCCAAACCUUUAGUAAUCUUUAAGGGAAUCCCAUCUCCUCAAUGGGUCGCAGGAUUCGUAAGUGGUGAGGGUACUUUUUAUGUUGUCACUAGCGAAUCUAAGACCGAAGGGUUAAACGUAAGAUUAAGAUUUAUUAUAUCUCAAGACUCUAGAGAUGAGCAGCUUAUGAAAAGUUUAAUUACUUUCUUUGAUUGUGGUAGAUGUGAAAUAGCUAAAGACGGUAUGGUGUAUUUUUGUGUUACUAAUUUUUUAGAUAAUUACGUCAAAAUCCUACCCUUCUUUAGUAAAUACCAGUUAGUUGGUAUAAAAGCCAAGGACUUUGAAGAUUGGUACAAAAUAGCUUCUAUAGUUAAAGGCUCAUCUAACAAGGGUCAGACCAGAUUGUUAAAAUAAAGGCAGGGUAAAUUACUUAUAGUCUUUCUGACUACCUAAGUUGGAUAAUGUUAAAUAGUUAUGCUCCUCCGGAUGCGGGAGCGCGGGAGCGCGGGAGCGCGGAGCCAAAAAAAAAAAUUUACUGUAGCCUCCCCUGCAAAGCCAGUGGGGGAUUCAAUGAGUUUUAGUACCAUGGAAUAUUUGUAUGACAAAUUCGAUCGCCUUGUGUCCAUAGGUAUAAAUAAUUAAAAACCAGUUCUAGAUUUAGUAAUUAUUUUUCUUUAGUUCUUGUUUAAUUAAUCAAAGAUUAAUUAAAAAAAUGAACCAAGGGAUUAAAAAUAAAAAUUCACUUUUUAUAUUAUUAAUUAACGAAUCUUUAGCCUGGGGGUCCAUACCAAAAUAUAAUAUCUUAUUUAUAUUUAUGGGGUAGCAGAACGUUGGGUAAAUCCAAAUGGUUACUUUUAUUGUUUUUAAUAAUAAAUAUAUGAUAACCCAAGUGAUAAUGCUGACAUGAGUAACGAAAAAGGGGAUAUACCCUCGCCUAAAGCUUAUGGUAUUUUUUUGUAAGUAACGGCCUCUAAGUUUACCAACCUAAAGGAUUAAACGAUGAGAAAAUCUUUUAGUUCAUUAGUAACAACCUUCCUUCUUAUAUGUUUUAUUAUAGAAACUUUAUAAGAAAAGUUGAGGGAGGUUCUGGAAAAACCGUGACCUAUCUUUAAUUAAGAUAAAAACCGUACCUAAAUACCACCGACGGUAAGCUAGUAGAGAAUACGAAGGCGUUUGAGUGAACAAUCCUUAAGGAACUCGGCAAACUAACUACCGUAACUUCGGAAUAAGGAGUGCCAUUCCUCUUCAUUAAUAUGAGGUAAAGAAUAGGAAGCAUGGAAUAGUGUUGUACGACUGUUUAAUUAAAACAAAGCACUCCGCAAUAAGAUAAUAAAUCAAAGUAUUGAGUGUGAUUUCUGCCCGAUGUCGGCCGGUUAACGGAUUUUCUUAGUUGACUAAUAUAAGCUAGGUUUUGAAGGAAACCCCGAUGAAUGGCGGCCUUACCUAUGAGGGUCAAACAAGGCUCUCUCUAAAUUCAGCUAUUUGCUGGAAGGGUUCAAGUGAUUGUAAGAACUUUAGUUGUCUUAAUAGGGGUUUUAGAAAGUUA
rnacentral:ncRNA from 1 species